rnacentral:rRNA from 1 species
UACGUAGGGUGCAAGCGUUGUCCGGAAUUAUUGGGCGUAAAGAGCUCGUAGGCGGUCUGUCACGUCGGAAGUGAAAACCCAGGGCUUAACCCCGGGCUUGCUUUCGAUACGGGCAGACUAGAGUGUGGUAGGGGAGACUGGAAUUCCUGGUGUAGCGGUGAAAUGCGCAGAUAUCAGGAGGAACACCGGUGGCGAAGGCGGGUCUCUGGGCCACUACUGACGCUGAGGAGCGAGAGCGUGGGGAGCGAACAGG